UAGUGUUUUAAUCAAACUAAAAAGCCAGAUUAACAGUCGCUAAUCUAUCAUCAGAAGUGGGAUAAAGGAUAUCUUCUCGUGAAUUAUUUCCGGAAGAGAGGACCUAAAAAAAUAUUUUUUUUUUUUUUUGUGUUUCUUUGUGAACGAACAGACAAUAGUGAAAAACACAAACGCGCAGUGAGUCCGAACGUUGUGAACAUUACCGAAAGUGCAUCGGAGAGAGACUAGCAGCAAGAAAGUAACAACAGAUUCCAAAAACAAAACAUGGAAAUUUUAUCGACAAUGGCCAACGCCCAAACUACUCAAGCAACAUUGAAGAUGGCUGCGCAGAAGGUUUAAGUGUGGCUGCAGCGCAGUUUCGACUUGUAAGAUUUAGAAAUUGCAUUUGAGGAACAUGACUUGAAUUUGUCAGGAAUGGACGAGUGGGUUACGAAAGAAAUAAAAGAACAACCGAAUGGAUAUUUUAGACAUCUUGUGAAAAACUUUGCAACUUUAACAGCACCGAUAUCUGCACUGUUACGUGAGGGAAAAUCUUUUGAAUGGACAUUUAAAUGUGAAAAUGUACGAUUGAUUUCUUAUCCGAUUUUCAACAUUUUUGAUCUGGAAUUGUCAACCGAACUACAUACAGAAGCAAGUUCGUUAGGAUUAGAUGUCGUUGUUAGCUGUCGAAUAGAGGAAAGUUGAAACCAAAGUAUCACGGACCCUUUGAGGUAACGCAUUGUUUACCUAAUGAGAGGUACGCACUCCGAAGGAUUGGCAGCCGAGGUAGAACUACAAUAGCAGCGCAUGAACAGUUACGAACCUGGCCAGAUACAGAAAUUCUAUAAGGUAUGAUGGAUAUAGAUUUAUUUAAUAAGAUUGAUGUGUGAAUGUGUGUAAAGGUCCCUGCUUAGUAGGCUAUGAUUAAGGUCCCUGCUCGGCAGGCUAUUUUUAAGGUCCCUGCGUCGCAGGCUAUGUUUGAGGUCCCUACUUUGCAGGCUAUGUUUAAGGUCCCUACUUUGCAGGCUAUGUUUAAAGGUCCCUGCUCGGCAGGCUAUGUUUAAGGUCCCUGCUCUGCAGGCUUAGAUUGUUGUGUUCUGGGUCUGUGAGACAAGCGGGUAAUAGACCUGGUAGUGGUUGAACCGCCUCUGAGCUCCUGGCUAGAAUAUGGUAUCUUUUGAUAGCACUUGAGAGUCAUGGGUGUAACAGACCUGUUGAUGGUUGAGCCGCCUCUGAGCUUCUAGUGGUUGUUAACUGUGCCACAUAACAGUCUAUUUUGUUAAAUGAAAUAAGGUUUAGACUUAGUUCUUCGAAUAUAUUUUGAGCUUGUACUGCUGUUAUAAUGUUUACAGAUUACCGGUGUCAGGUGAAUCUUUGCAAAACUGCGGAAGGUGCGAGGACGCCCCACAUGUCAGGAAGGCCGUGUUAGCUUACGUCAUCACCUUCACCGAUGGACCGAUGCGACGUGCUCACAUCUAUUUAGACUAGUUUUGUUUUAUAAGCAAAUCUGAAGUAUUUGUUUACAUUUAAUAAUCGGGGCAGUUCUUAAGAAAGAACCAGGCAGUCAAGCUUUAGAUGUCGAGGGUUAAACUACGUUUGUUGUAAUAAAGCGUAUUAUUGUGAA